GUAGUCGCCCCGCCCCCCAGCCCGCAGCGAUCCAGCGGUCGAUGCUGUGUUGCUACUGUGGGAAUUUACCCCAAUAAUCGCACGCAUGAAACGCCUUACCGGGACCGCAAUAAAAUAAGAAAUGUGCAAAAAGACCGAAAAUGGGUGCCUCUACAUGGCAUGAAGAUUCAGUUUAAAUUCAUCUAUAAUUAAACAGUAUUGGGGCCAAAUCGCUGACUAGCGGAGCUGAAGCAAUAAGAACUUAUACAACAUUUCCAUCCCACGGUUGACAUUACGUCAGGCGGCACUUCUGUUCAACAGAUGCGCGGUUUGUCCACUGACAUACGCAAUAUUCUACAGUACAGUUCAAGAGUACCUAACACCAACGUUUGGGCAUUCAAAUAAUUUACAUAAUAUGAGCAUGACAUUUUUACAGAUGUCGAUUUUCAUACACAACUUGAAAUAACAAACUGAUGACUCGUAAUUAAUAUAUGUUAUAUUAUUAUUUUUUAUUUUUUUAGGCGUAUUGUCUCCUUCAACGAAAUCCCUUAUCUUUAAAAUCGCUCUUCGCUUGCUUGUGGAAUUCCCUUCCCAUGCUAUCCUAUGAAAGUUAGUCCUUAAAUAUUUUAAGAGUAGACUUAAAAAAACCCUAUGCACAUUUAUUAAUUUAUUUAUGUGUGUAAGUAUAUAUUUAUGUUUAUAUAUAGAUAUAUAUGUAAAUGUGUAUAAUAUAUACGAUUAAAUACGAUAUAAUUAGUUAUGUAUAAACUUAAAUUUGUCUAGUUUUUCUUGUUUGAAUAU